UACGUAGGGUGCAAGCGUUAAUCGGAAUUACUGGGCGUAAAGCGUGCGCAGGCGGUGAUGUAAGACAGGUGUGAAAUCCCCCGGGCUUAACCUGGGAACUGCGCUUGUAACUGGCAAGCUAGAGUGUGGCAGGAGGGGGGUGGAAUUCCACGUGUAGCAGUGAAAUGCGUAGAGAUGUGGAGGAAUACCGAUGGCGAAGGCAGCCCCCUGGGCCAAUACUGACGCUCA
rnacentral:rRNA from 1 species